UACGUAGGGUGCGAGCGUUAAUCGGAAUUACUGGGCGUAAAGCGUGCGCAGGCGGUUCGUUAAGUCAGAUGUGAAAGCCCCGGGCUCCAACCUGGGAACUGCAUUUGAAACUGGCGGGCUUGAGUGCGGCAGAGGGGGGUGGGAAUUCCGCGUGUAGCAGUGAAAUGCGUAGAGAUGCGGAGGAACACCGAUGGCGAAGGCAGCCCCCUGGGCCGACACUGACGCUCAGGCACGAAAGCGUGGGGAGCAAACGGG
rnacentral:rRNA from 1 species